rnacentral:rRNA from 1 species
CCUACGGGGGGCUGCAGUGGGGAAUAUUGCACAAUGGGCGCAAGCCUGAUGCAGCCAUGCCGCGUGUGUGAAGAAGGCCUUCGGGUUGUAAAGCACUUUCAGCGGGGAGGAAGGCGUUAAGGUUAAUAACCUUGGCGAUUGACGUUACCCGCAGAAGAAGCACCGGCUAACUCCGUGCCAGCAGCCGCGGUAAUACGGAGGGUGUAAGCGUUAAUCGGAAUUACUGGGCGUAAAGCGCACGCAGGCGGUCUGUCAAGUCGGAUGUGAAAUCCCCGGGCUCAACCUGGGAACUGCAUUCGAAACUGGCAGGCUAGAGUCUUGUAGAGGGGGGUAGAAUUCCAGGUGUAGCGGUGAAAUGCGUAGAGAUCUGGAGGAAUACCGGUGGCGAAGGCGGCCCCCUGGACAAAGACUGACGCUCAGGUGCGAAAGCGUGGGGAGCAAACAGGAUAGAUACCCUAGUAGUC